rfam:Mus musculus chromosome 15, GRC primary reference assembly.
CGGAGCAGCCGCAGCUCGAAACCCGCAGAGGAAGCCCAGAGUGGCGAGCGAGUGGGUAGAUAGACAGACUGACCCGAGCCGCGUCCACCUGUCGGCCCGGACCAGCCCAGCGCGCAGUGGGCGCGCCGCGCUCUCGGAGCAGCCGUGCCCGCCGCUUGGGCCCUGCGCCAGGGCGCACACGCUCCCGCCCCGCCACCCGGCCCGGGCGGGAGUUUGCACCUCUCCCUGCCCGGGUGUUCGGGCCGCCGCUGCAAAGCCAACUUUGGAAAAAGUUUUUUUUUGGAGACUUGGGCUUGGAGGUCCCCAGCUCUGCGCUUUCUGAUCUGGGGGUCCGUUCCAGAAAAUGUUGCAAAAAAGCUAAGCCAGCAGGCAGAGGAACACGCCUUUAGCGGGCGAGUGAAGACGAACCAUCGGCUGCCGUGUUCCUUUUCCUCUCUGAGGUUGGAGUCCCCUGCGCGCCCCCACACGGCUAGACGCCUUGGCUGGUUCGCGACGCAGCCCCCAGACUGUGGAUGCUCGCGUGGGCUCGGGAUCCGCCCAGGUAGCGGCUUUGGACCCCGGUCCCUUGUCCAGGUCCUCCCCAGCCCCCCAGCGACGGAGCCGGGGC